UCUGAGGUGGUGUAGAGGUAGCAUCUUCGGCUUUCAUCCGAAAGACCCAGGUUCGAUCCCUGGCCCCAGAC